GACGAACGCUGGCGGCGUGCCUAAUACAUGCAAGUAGAACGCACAGUUUAUACCGUAGCUUGCUACACCAUACACUGUGAGUUGCGAACGGGUGAGUAACGCGUAGGUAACCUGCCUGGUAGCGGGGGAUAACUAUUGGAAACGAUAGCUAAUACCGCAUAAUAUUGAUUAUUGCAUGAUAAUUGAUUGAAAGAUGCUAUUGCAUCACUACCAGAUGGACCUGCGUUGUAUUAGCUAGUAGGUGAGGUAACGGCUCACCUAGGCGACGAUACAUAGCCGACCUGAGAGGGUGAUCGGCCACACUGGGACUGAGACACGGCCCAGACUCCUACGGGAGGCAGCAGUAGGGAAUCUUCGGCAAUGGACGAAAGUCUGACCGAGCAACGCCGCGUGAGUGAAGAAGGUUUUCGGAUCGUAAAGCUCUGUUGUAAGAGAAGAACGGGUGUGAGAGUGGAAAGUUCACACUGUGACGGUAGCUUACCAGAAAGGGGCGGCUAACUACGUG
rnacentral:rRNA from 1 species